rnacentral:rRNA from 1 species
UACGUAUGGUGCAAGCGUUAUCCGGAUUUACUGGGUGUAAAGGGAGCGUAGACGGCUUAGCAAGUCUGAUGUGAAAGCUAUGGGCUCAACCCAUAAACUGCAUUGGAAACUGUUCAGCUGGAGUGUCGGAGAGGUAAGCGGAAUUCCUAGUGUAGCGGUGAAAUGCGUAGAUAUUAGGAGGAACACCGGUGGCGAAGGCGGCUUACUGGACGAUAACUGACGUUGAGGCUCGAAUGUGCGGGAAUCAAAC